rnacentral:rRNA from 1 species
AUGUCUAGCCUAAUGCAGACCAUGGUCGUCUCCGGAGUAGCGACGGCCGUGUGCUGCGCGGCGUGGAGCUUCUACAACUACUGGACCUCCCUGUCCCUGGACACCUACGGCAAGGACAUGACGGCCGCCGCCAGCAGGGCCGACCCCGUGGUGGGCCGCGACGACGAGAUCGACCGCCUCGUCCGCAUCCUCUGCCGCCGGACCAAGAACUGCGCCGCGGGGGUGGGCAAGACGGCCAUCGCGGAGGGCCUCGCACAGCGCAUCGCCGCCGGGAAGGUGCCCAGGCAGCUCGCCGGCGCGCGCCUCGUGGAAGUUGACCUCGCGGCCAUGGUGGCCGGCCGGGACGCAGUGGCGCGGCAUGUUCGAGGAGCGCAUGAAGGCCGUCAUCAGGCGGGCCGAGGCCUCCGGCGGCAAGAUCAUCCUCUUCAUCGACGAGAUGCACACGCUCAUCGGCGCCGGCGACUACCAGCGCCGGAACGACGCCGCCAACAUGCUCAAGCCAGCGUUGGCCCGUGGCCGCAUCCGCUGCAUCGGCGCCACCACGUUCGACGAGUACCGGAAGCACAUAGAGAAGGACACCGCGCUCGAGCGGCGGUUCCAGAAGGUGCACGUUGA